rnacentral:rRNA from 1 species
GCUUAACACAUGCAAGUCGAGGGGUAACAGAGAUAGCUUGCUAUUUGCUGACGACCGGCGAACGGGUGCGUAACGCGUAUAGAAUCUGCCUUGUACAGGAGGAUAGCCUUUAGAAAUGAAGAUUAAUACUCCAUAAUGUAUUUAACUGGCAUCGGUUAGAUAUUAAAGAUUUAUCGGUACAAGAUGACUAUGCGUCCUAUUAGCUAGAUGGUAAGGUAACGGCUUACCAUGGCAACGAUAGGUAGGGGGUCUGAGAGGAUUAUCCCCCACACUGGUACUGAGACACGGACCAGACUCCUACGGGAGGCAGCAGUGAGGAAUAUUGGUCAAUGGAGGCAACUCUGAACCAGCCAUGCCGCGUGCAGGAAGACUGCCCUAUGGGUUGUAAACUGCUUUUAUACAGGAAGAAACAGUCGUACGUGUACGGCCUUGACGGUACUGUAAGAAUAAGCACCGGCUAACUCCGUGCCAGCCGCCGCGGUAAUA